rnacentral:rRNA from 1 species
CCUACGGGUGGCAGCAGUGAGGAAUAUUGGUCAAUGGACGCAAGCCUGAACCAGCCAUGCCGCGUGCAGGAAGACGGCUCUAUGAGUUGUAAACUGCUUUUGUACGAGGGUAAACGCAGAUACGCGUAUCUGUCUGAAAGUAUCGUACGAAUAAGGAUCGGCUAACUCCGUGCCAGCAGCCGCGGUAAUACGGAGGAUUCAAGCGUUAUCCGGAUUUAUUGGGUGUAAAGGGUGCGUAGGCGGUCGGGUAAGUUAGAGGUGAAAUCCCGAGGCUCAACUUUGGAAUUGCCUCUGAUACUGUUAGGCGAGAGAAUAGUUGAGGUAGGCGGAAUGUAUGGUGUAGCGGUGAAAUGCUUAGAGAUCAUGAAGAACACCGAUUGCGAAGGCAGCUUACCAAGCUACUACUGACGUUGAGGCACGAAAGCGUGGGGAGCAAACAGGAUUAGAUACCCUAGUAGUC